rnacentral:lncRNA from 1 species
CGAGGAGGCGGUGCUGGGGCGGGCGCAGGACUGCAGGCUGGGGCUCCGCUCCCCGGCGGGAGCCCGCGCGUGGUUCCCAGCGAAGUCCCCGCGCGGCUGGGCCCAGCGUGAGUAUUCUCCGCCCGCUGUCCUCCCCCUGGAGGCGGCAGCGCCCGUUUAUUUGAGGAGGAUGAGGCUGUCACUACUACAGUUGGGACUGUUUCAUACUCCGUGCUCUUGUGCUAUGCCAGGGGGUACUGUCUAACCCACAAGUCUCUGCCAGGAAUGUUGCUGUCCACACUGGAGUGUAAGACACCUGCGGAGCUCGUCUAUGGGGCUCAUGUUGGCUGAGGCUCUGAACUACAGAACUGCAAACAACCAAGGGAGCGCCCCAGGCCCCAGGCUUCUAAUGUGAGGAAAAACACGGAAUGACAAGUGUGGGAAAGAGCAAGCACUAAAUUACUGUCAGAAAAAUAAACGGAGUAGCACAGUGCUGCUCGGUGAUUUACGGGGGCAAUUAGUCACCACCCCACGGCGCUGCUGAGGACAGCACGGCAGCAGACAAGUCAGGCCCAUGAGGAAGAAGAGGCUUUGCACUGCUCUCCAGACAACUUUUCAAACAACAAGAGAGGAUAUUUGAGCACAUUAGGUUUUGUGUCUUCAUUCUGGCCGUGUGAAGAUGUGCCUGCUUCGCCUUCCAUCAUGACUGAAGUUUCCUGAGGCCUCCCCAGCUAUGCUCCCUAUACAGCCUGCAGAACGGUCGGCUGCCUCCAAUCCUGAGGUCAUCACUCAUCAAGAGGGGAUAAUCCCAGGGACAGCAGGAUCUGCUUCGUUACUUGGAUUUAGGAGCCAGAAACCCAUCAGGCAACUAAACAGUAACAAUGACCCGCCAUUAAACACACUGAGAGAAGAGCAUGAUGAAGAGUUUGUACAAGAAGAAGCCAGGAGCACUUGCUGACAAUGCUUACAGAGACGCAGGCUUCUAUGAGCUCUGCCUGUUGAACUGCAGUAAAAAUAGAUCUCCUUCCCCAGAGAGGCUUGGAUGUGGGCACAAUAUCAGUUCAGACGAUGGUCAAUGCAUGUACUUAAUAGAGUGAAAAGACUUUGGACUGUGAAGUCAGAUUACCUGGGUCUGAAUUGUUAUUCUUCUACUUCUUUGUAGUAUGCUUUCACCACAUUAAAAAUUGUCUGAGCCUCAA